CUCGGCUCACAAAUUGCAACUCGCUAAUUCAAACCCUGUAUAGGCUUCGUUCACUUGUGUGCCCCCCCCCCCUGCCACUUCCAAAAACACUCCAGUCACUGUGAACCUGGUGUGAACCUGGUGUGAACAAUUUUUGAGCACAUAUCGUUUGGUAUCCUGCUCAAUCACCACGCCUUGGGCUAAAUCACAACUUCCUCAGUGGCUAGAUCACAAACUACUGUAUAGCUACAUCACCAGAUACCCUUGAAAAUGAUGGUCUUGGCUAAUAUUAAAUGUGGAUGUGUUGCAUGUCAAUAUUAAAACAAUAACAUGAAAAUAAAUAUCUUAUACAUACGUGUUAACAUGAUCCAAAUGCCAUUUUGUCCUAUUAUUUUCCCACGCAUUUUCCCACUCUUCGAUCGUUCUUAAACGCUUUGCCAUUCUAAUUGAAGUAAUUUUCUAUUCCACUGCUCACGCCAGAGGACUACACUACGCAAGGCAAAUUUCACUAUUUCUCAGUAAAGGUGUCUCUUCUCCGCAGAGGCUUUCAAAGAAUAUGAAGGAAUUGAAAUUGCGCUAGAACUAGAACUAGAAGGUAUCUGGUAUGAAG